CCAGCUUUGGGCAGCCUCCAGCAGCUCCCCCCGAAGGCCGCGCUGCACCCCUCCCCACCCCCACCUGUCCCCCGCUGCAGGCCCAAGGGCCGCCAGGACAGUGGAUGCUACUGAAGCUGGCUCUAACGGGGCUCUGCCCCCCCACCGGGGGUGUGCAGCCGGCGUCUCGCUAGCCCCCCUGCGGUCAUUCUCCUCAUCUCGCAGGUGGGGACGAGACAGGGCCUCGUGGGACCCAACUUUCCCGCUCAGCGCCUCGCCGCUUGUUAAGGGCUGCCGCCGGCACGGCCACGGACCAGACCAAGCUGGGCCUCGGGCUCCGGGAGCAGGGCGUCCUCGGGCCGGCGCCUCGGCCUCUGAAGGUGAGUCUCCCGUCUCCACCCGGUUCGCUCUUUGUCACCGGAACCCGGGGCUCUGCUGUGCAAGAGGUGUUUGAGGGAGAGAAUGCUACUGGUGUGUGGUCCCCGCGAGCUGACCCGGACGUGCCAGGCUCGUGCCAGCGCCGCGGGAAAUGGGAGGCUGCGUCAGAUGUUCGCCGGCCGGCCGCCAGACUCCGAAGGUUGAAGGGAAGGAGAGUGUGGGGAGCCAAAACCGUCCCCAAAAGAUGCCCACCUCAAACCCCUGACACCUGUGGGAAAAGGGCCUCUGCAGAUGUGAUUUAGGAUCUUGAGACCACCCUUGGUUAUCCUGGUGGGCCCUAACCCAGCGCCAAGCGUCCUCAUAAGACGCAGGCAGAGGUGGGGGGAGGCUGCGUGACCACGGAGGCAGAGCCUGGGUAACGUGGCCACACGCCAAGCCCCGUCCAGAGCUCCCGGAGCUGUGAGAGGCAGCAGGCGUCCCCCCCUCAAACGUCCAGAGGGAGUACAGCCUUGACCGUGGACAACUGGCCUCCAGAUCCAUGAGACGGGGAUUCCCUUGUGUGUGUGCGCGCGAGUCUGUGGCACCUUGUUACGGCGGCGUCAGUGACCACGUGAACGUCUGCACGUCUGUAGACCGUGCUGCCCUCCUGAGCGCAGAUCCUGCCCAGAAGCUGCUAGGCGUGGGGCAGCGUCCCCCAUAUGCAGCCAGGGGCUCUCUGAGCUUCAUCCCGGGGACCCCACGGGAGAGGCACCCGGCACCGGGAUGCCAGGCAUGUCGGAGCAUGCAGCGGGGGUGGGAAGGGAGGAGGCCCCAGGCCUGAGCGGGUGCCCCUGGGAUUUGUGUCCCUCCUGCAGUCCCUGCAGACAAGGGGUGCGGGCCCACAUCCUUGCUGCAAAAUAUUAAAGGGGACGGAGGGAGAGACAGCAAAGCCAGGAAAAAUUCCCUUCGAGCGCCCUUGUCUGAUGGCUUCCUGCCCACGUUGGAGGGAGCCCUUGCCGGGUCAGGGCCCCCCUGCAGCCCUUCUGUGCUGUGUACUGGCCCGUCCACACAAAGGCACGCACACUACAUGUGAUAGGACAUGUCAGAGCUGGAGCUGCAUCUAUAGACACGGGUCUACCUCCUUUUUCCUGCUGCCUCUACUGGUGUUCGGGACAUUCCUCCACUGGUGAGCACUUAGGUGGAUCUCCUGAGCAGCAGGGCGCCAGCCACCCAUCCCUUCAUACGCUGUUGUGAAUACUCACGAGCGUUUCUUCCCAAUGGGAUUGCCGGUUAGUCCCACUUUGACAAAUUCUCCCAAUUUUCUUUCAAGGGGCUUUGAUAAGGGGCACCCGGAUGGCUCAGUGGUUGACCGUCUCUGCCUCCAGCUCAGGGUGUGACCCCGGGGUCCCGGGAUCGAGUCCUGCAUCAGGCUUCCUGCAGGGAGCCUGCUUCUCCCUCUGCCUGUG